AGAUCUUCUGGUUCAGGACGGGGCCAACACAUUCUCUAGAGAGGCACGUCCCUGUCCUGAUGGAAACCAUUAAGAAAGGAGUUCACGAUGCUGACUCUGAGGCCAGAUCAAUCGCUAGAAAAUGUUACUGGGGUUUCCAGCGCCCACUUCAGUAAGGAGGCGGAGCUUCUGUUUCAGG